rnacentral:rRNA from 1 species
AUGCUGGAGGUAUCAGAAGUGCGAAUGCUGACAUAAGUAACGAUAAAGCGGGUGAAAAGCCCGCUCGCCGGAAGACCAAGGGUUCCUGUCCAACGUUAAUCGGGGCAGGGUGAGUCGACCCCUAAGGCGAGGCCGAAAGGCGUAGUCGAUGGGAAACAGGUUAAUAUUCCUGUACUUGGUGUUACUGCGAAGGGGGGACGGAGAAGGCUAUGUUGGCCGGGCGACGGUUGUCCCGGUUUAAGCGUGUAGGCUGGUUUUCCAGGCAAAUCCGGAAAAUCAAGGCUGAGGCGUGAUGACGAGGCACUACGGUGCUGAAGCAACAAAUGCCCUGCUUCCAGGAAAAGCCUCUAAGCAUCAGGUAACAUCAAAUCGUACCCCAAACCGACACAGGUGGUCAGGUAGAGAAUACCAAGGCGCUUGAGAGAACUCGGGUGAAGGAACUAGGCAAAAUGGUGCCGUAACUUCGGGAGAAGGCACGCUGAUAUGUAGGUGAAGUCCCUUGCGGAUGGAGCUGAAAUCAGUCGAAGAUACCAGCUGGCUGCAACUGUUUAUUAAAAACACAGCACUGUGCAAACACGAAAGUGGACGUAUACGGUGUGACGCCUGCCCGGUGCCGGAAGGUUAAUUGAUGGGGUUAGCGGUAACGCGAAGCUCUUGAUCGAAGCCCCGGUAAACGGCGGCCGUAACUAUAACGGUCCUAAGGUAGCGAAAUUCCUUGUCGGGUAAGUUCCGACCUGCACGAAUGGCGUAAUGAUGGCCAGGCUGUCUCCACCCGAGACUCAGUGAAAUUGAACUCGCUGUGAAGAUGCAGUGUACCCGCGGCAAGACGGAAAGACCCCGUGAACCUUUACUAUAGCUUGACACUGAACAUUGAGCCUUGAUGUGUAGGAUAGGUGGGAGGCUUUGAAGUGUGGACGCCAGUCUGCAUGGAGCCGACCUUGAAAUACCACCCUUUAAUGUUUGAUGUUCUAACGUUGGCCCCUGAUCGGGGUUGCGGACAGUGUCUGGUGGGUAGUUUGACUGGGGCGGUCUCCUCCUAAAGAGUAACGGAGGAGCACGAAGGUUGGCUAAUCCUGGUCGGACAUCAGGAGGUUAGUGCAAUGGCAUAAGCCAGCUUGACUGCGAGCGUGACGGCGCGAGCAGGUGCGAAAGCAGGUCAUAGUGAUCCGGUGGUUCUGAAUGGAAGGGCCAUCGCUCAACGGAUAAAAGGUACUCCGGGGAUAACAGGCUGAUACCGCCCAAGAGUUCAUAUCGACGGCGGUGUUUGGCACCUCGAUGUCGGCUCAUCACAUCCUGGGGCUGAAGUAGGUCCCAAGGGUAUGGCUGUUCGCCAUUUAAAGUGGUACGCGAGCUGGGUUUAGAACGUCGUGAGACAGUUCGGUCCCUAUCUGCCGUGGGCGCUGGAGAACUGAGGGGGGCUGCUCCUAGUACGAGAGGACCGGAGUGGACGCAUCACUGGUGUUCGGGUUGUCAUGCCAAUGGCACUGCCCGGUAGCUAAAUGCGGAAGAGAUAAGUGCUGAAAGCAUCUAAGCACGAAACUUGCCCCGAGAUGAGUUCUCCCUGACCCUUUAAGGGUCCUGAAGGAACGUUGAAGACGACGACGUUGAUAGGCCGGGUGUGUAAGCGCAGCGAUGCGUUGAGCUAACCGGUACUAAUGAACCGUGAGGCUUAACCUU